AGGCAACCAGGGGGUCGAUUUUCGUUUCGUCGCCUUCGUUCUUGCUGCUAUCGGUAGAUCGUGGACAUUUAUAUUUUUAUGAGAAAUAUGAAAAACGAGAAAAUGUUGGGAAUAUUCGUAACACGGAAAUACAGAUAAAACAAAACUAUCCAAAGUAAAUCACUGGUUAUAAUAGUUGAUAAAUGUAAAAGAACCACUUGAGUUCUAUUUCUUUGAUUAUGCUCGUAAAAAUACAAAUUCCCAUAAAUAUUCACAACCUACUCGUUAUUCGUAGCUGCACGUUUCUUCUAACGGUGUCUUAAAGUCAAUUUUUCUCAUAACAGACACGUGACAUGAUAGGCUUGUUGUAUACACGAAUAACAUGUCAAUUUAUCAAGACCACAAGACUCUUUUACUUCUGUUCGUUUAAUCGAUGCGAUAGAACCAGUCGUUAUAACGAUUCCCCAAUUGUUUUGCGCAGUCUAUCAUCCCAGUGUGGUCGGAAAUGUCUAAUGCGUGGUUAAAGCUACGCUUUAAAACAUACAAAAAAUAAUGAUCGGUGCUUACCUUAAAUAGGAACCGACAUGGCAGGUACGGUUCGUGUUGCCGUGCCCCGAAUAUCUGCAAACAGAACGCAAAAGAUCAACAUCACAAAUAAAUAGAGAAGUACACAGACUACGAGAAUCUGGAAAAUGUCAAGCGUGGUACCAAAUUGACUUUGCGAAGCUGAAAUUGCUACGAAACCGGGUCGUUUCAGCGCCUAGUUCCUUUAAAAUUUCCAAGCUACGAAAACUGUUCGGGUAUAACGACACUUUUACAUGAAAACGAAUCUAAACGAAUACAAACGUAAUUAAAGAAACCAGGAGCGAGUGAUUAUUAGCACCAGGCACCCAAACGAUUAUAUCCGCUACUGGUUACAGUAUGGAUUUCCAGAUCCUUAACAAGAAGCGAGUUACAUAGCGAACAAGAAUCUUCUUUAACGUGAUAUUUCAUCGUCCCUCUACGUAACGACGUUUUCGAGUAGCGACCACUUUCAAACGGACAGAAUUAACGUAUCCAGUUGACAACAACGUCAAGAGGGAAGAACAUGGUAGCAAGUAAUAAUAAUUGGUGGAAGCGAAGAGACAGAGAGAAGAAUUUGAAAGCCGACGCCCAACGUUAAUCCCGUUUCAGUGGAAAGAAAGGCGCAUCGGGAAAUGAGAAAAGUCGGGAGAGGAAGCAAUUGCGACUGGUUUUUCAUGGUAUUCGUGAUUAUUCGGUGGAAAAGAACAAAAGAAGAGGCAAUACCGGCGGAUGAUGCGCCAUGGCACAAGGCCCGUGUGCCAUUCGUUUCUCCGUACCUGUGCAUCGUUCCUCUUGUUGCGCUAGAACGGUUGACAUAUUUCUUUUAGCGGUACACAGAGACGAGAAGAGAAGCCUAGCCGACGUUUCUCCUCCAUUCUUCUUCUAUUCCUUUGGCCUAGCAACGCCAGUCAUUACCAACGCCGCCAUCAACCACACGCUGUCAUUGUCUGGACGCACUUUGCCGAUGCACGCGACAACGCUCGUUUGAAACGCGACUUUAAUUGCGUAACACCCGGCCGUCUGUCCGUUUUCACAGCGAAACGAAUUAAGACAACGAUCACGUGUACCCCAUCGUUCACCGAGAACAGUUUUCAUGCCAUUCGUGACGCUCUAAAAUAGUUCAUCUCUGUCCGAGACAAAUUGGAAAGCAAAGGAACGAACUUGUUGCGCUUUGUUUUAUUUUAAAGUGGAUUUGUCGAGGCUACUUUAUAGAAAACGAUAAAAGAUAAUGUGAUGUAUCGAUCGC